UUGAAUGGAAACCUGUGGCUAGAUAGCGUGUUGCUGGCCCUUGGGGGCAUGUGCAUAUGCCUUCUGGUCAUUUGUUUCUUUUUUUCGUUCCACCUGUGCACUGUUGUAGACAUAUUUUUUAUGUCUAUGAUAUAUUUCAUACACAUCAUUGAAAUAUUUGAUUGUUUUGUAAUAAACAAUA
rnacentral:misc_RNA from 1 species